AUUGAACGCUGGCGGCAGGCCUAACACAUGCAAGUCGGGCGAGCGGCGGACGGGUGAGUAAUGUAUGGGGAUCUGCCUGAUGGAGGGGGAUAACUACUGGAAACGGUAGCUAAUACCGCAUACCAUCAGAUGAACCCAUAUGGGAUUAGCGUGUAGGUGAGGUAACGGCUCACCUAGGCGACGAUCCCUAGCUGGUCUGAAAGGAGGGUGAGCAACACUGGGACUGGCACGCGGCCCGGACUCCUACGGGAGGCAGCAGUGGGGAAUAUUGGAAAGUGGGCGCUAUCCUGCUGCAGCCAUUCCGCGUGGAUGAAAUAGGCGGGCGGGUUGUAAAGGACGUUCGCCCGGGAGGCGUUACCGACAGAAGAAGCACCGGCUAACUCCGUGCCAGCCGCCGCGGUAAUAC
rnacentral:rRNA from 1 species